AUGUCGACUAUUUCUGAUCAGAAGAAACGGACCUUAGAAGCUAUUCAACAACGGUAUGCGGCAGCUAAAGCUAAGAAGCUGAAAGAUGAACAGCCCAAGUGCCUGAAGAACAAAGAGAGUACCCCCAAGCCCAAGUUUGAUGCACGGAGGAAAGGAAAAACUCCCCAAUCCACUCCUUCUCGAACUUCUGGCCAGCUGCCUACAUUUAGAGCUCAAGGAAACUCCAGUCAUCAACAAAAAACUUCUGCUUCCUUAGGUGGAGAAAUCAACCCUAUAUACUCUGAGCUUUCCUUUGCCCUUCAUGAAAAUUUGUCCCAAGAUGACCAUACGGAUCUCGAUAGCACAGACAUAGUUCACAGUAUCGUAUAUGAUAUAAUUCAGAAAGGUGGAGAAUCCAGGAAAAUUGCCAAGGGAUCCAAAAAGUUAAAGCUGGAUAGAGGGAUUCUUUUGGAUAACUAUGUUCAAAGGGGUCCUAUAUUAGUGGAUGCACAAUCACGAUCUUUGUUGAUUCACUCAAAGCGAUCAAAAAGACACAUGUCACUGAAGCAACAUAAGAAAUGUGGGUCAUUUGAUUUACAUGAUAAAUUCCGCAGAUUUGACCUCUAUAAGCCAAUGAAUGAAAUGUGGAAAGAGUAUAUGCGAGAGCUUACAAAAAGUAUCCCGAAAAAGCAAUUGUCGGAAAACCUCCUUUCAGCAGAUCUUCAUGGGGCGCUUAUAAUAGUGGCACAAUGCAAAGCAGUCUCAUAUGAAGGUGUAAGUGGCAUCAUGAUUCGUGACACUGCAGAGACUUUUGGAAUUAUAUCAGAGGACAACCGCUUCCGAGUUGUGCCGAAAGCUGGGUCAGUUUUCGUCCUCCAAGCUGAUUGCUGGAAGGUUACACUAAUUGGCGACAAACUGUCGCCAAAGGAGAAGUUGAAGGAAAGCCAGCGUCUGCAGCGUGCGCAAUCACUGAUCAGAUAG
rnacentral:rRNA from 1 species